UUUCCCUACGCAAUUUUGAGCAGACCUAGAUUUCAAAAGUAGGAUCAGGUUUAGUAACAAUUCUUAGCUUAAGUUUCUUAGAUUCAAUUGUAAUUUGUAUAUAACAGAUUCUAACAUUAGAAUUGGAUUUGAUACUUGAUAGACAACUCUUACUUUCUACUAUUUAUAUAGACAUGGCUGUAUUUUUUAUAUACAACUAUAUCGAUCAAUCUAUAUCAUUAUAAUUUGGACCUAUCACGAUCAAAUGGCCAAUAUCUUUACUUUUUUUUUCUUCAAUUAAUGUGAUAAUUUCUACGUCCCUUAAGCGAAUAUGGUGCCCCAUUUCGAGCUCUCUCUGCAACCUAAUCACUUUCACUUUAUGUCUUCUGUCAAAAUGCUCCCUUUUUUCUUUUUUUUUUCUGUAGAAACAGUCCUCAUGGCAGAAAUGGUGGCCUCAACUGUUGUCCAAGAGGUUUUGGGUGGAGCCGUCUCCUACUUGUCCAGCAACCGGGAGAAGGUGUCCGAGAGGCACAACUUGGAGAAGUUGGAGAUGGCACACGCUCAAUUGGAGCACGCCCUAGAGAGAUCUUCAAAGCUACCCAUCACAGAUGUUUCCUUGCUUCGUCAGAGGAGGAUGUUCAAACGUGCCUAUGAGGAGUGCAGUGAAGUGGUGGAGAAAUGCAAGGUGCGGAUUUUGGAAGUUGCUGAAGAGCAAGGGGUAACACACAGCUAUUUUCCCAAGCAGUUUGUCCAAGCCGUAAAAGCCAUGAAAUCAUAUGUCUUGUCUUUCCUUGGCAUGAACAAGCAAUAUCUUUUGAGUUGCUCCCAUGUUCGCAGAUUCGAAUGGUUUGCAAAGAAGGCUGGUAAGUUUGCGAGGGAUGUGGAGACUGGCCGUACACUUUGGCACUACAACUUUUUUAGCUCUCUCAUCAGACCACUUCUAGAAGGGAAACAUCUCAAGUAUGACAUGCCAUUGCAAGGAAGCAAAACCCUUGGUAUUACAAUAGUACCUGUAUCUCUUGAAGGGCGUGGCGUAGAGGCAUUGAUACAGUUAAAUAAGGAGGAUAGCAGAAUGCCACUGAAAAAUUUUUGUCUGUUGCUGAUACUACGACUCUCAGAGAGCACGGACAUAGUUAGGAUUAUCAUCAAUUGCUUGCAGUUACUUGGGCCUCAUUUCACGCGUUUGGCUAAAGAUGCAAUUGGUCAACUUGCUGCUCUACAACACUCACAUCCUCAAGACCUCGAACCACUGCUAGCACUUCAGGCCGUGGACUACCAUCGGAGCUUUCUUGCCUUUCGAGCUACAGUUGCUCGCCCUGAUCCAUUUUGUUGCAGAGAAAAGAGGCUCGAUCCUUGUGCUGACAACACCAUCUCGCCCAAUUUACCAUAUGAUAUUCCAGAACAAGUUAUCUAUGUGCGCUGCAGCAGCUACAUUUCGGCUGUUGAGUACAAUUACUUGUACAACUCAAGCAAUAUUGUGAGGGAUUGGUCUAUCCUGAAGAUGGUGAUCAAUAUUUCGCCUCAUUUCUCGCACCCUGAAGCCAAUCGGGGGAGUUACAGUAGUCGGGGAGCAACUGAUAAGUUUCAUGGUUAUGGAUACCUUUGUCUGAUGAAGCCGCGCAUCCGGAGCUGCAAAACCAAUUCUAGUUGCAGAUCCAAGGCCAGGAGAGUAUCAAAGACAAGACAUAACUAG
rnacentral:lncRNA from 1 species